UACGUAGGGUGCGAGCGUUGUCCGGAAUUAUUGGGCGUAAAGAGCUCGUAGGCGGUGUGUCGCGUCGGCCGUGAAAACCUGCAGCUUAACUGUGGGCUUGCGGUCGAUACGGGCAUCACUGGAGUUCGGCAGGGGAGACUGGAAUUCCUGGUGUAGCGGUGAAAUGCGCAGAUAUCAGGAGGAACACCGGUGGCGAAGGCGGGUCUCUGGGCCGAUACUGACGCUGAGGAGCGAAAGCGUGGGGAGCGAACAGG
rnacentral:rRNA from 1 species